CACAACAGAAGACAACGCAGCGAGACUGUUCUUCAAGUUUUUAUUAUUUUACUGUUUGCUUCGCGAUGAGAGGAAUAAGACAUCAUUCACCCCAAAAAGAUGUGAUGUGGUUGAGGAUUUGAGAUUUGGAUUUCCUCAGAAAAAAGAAUGAAGCACUUUAUUCAGCAGAGAUCAUAAACAUGAAAGAGGACUCAAAUAUUUCCAAUGAAAAAUGCCCAGCCUGAAGUACUACAAAAUCUCAUUUGGAAUGAUGAACCAGUGCGACUUGAAUGAGGACAGCUGCUAAGACGACUGGAAUGAGCUGCUUGUGCAAAGAAAUGAGUGCCUCUCAUUAACCAUGGAAAGAGAGCUUCAUUGGUGCUGACUGCAGUCAUCUUUACACAUUCACAAACAGACCCAACUCUAAAUGCAAAGGCUAUUGCAGCA
ensembl:lncRNA